AUACGGAGGGAGCGAGCGUUAAUCGGAAUUACUGGGCGUAAAGCGCGCGUAGGCGGCUUUGUAAGUCGGAUGUGAAAGCCCAGGGCUCAACCCUGGAAUUGCAUUCGAUACUGCAGAACUAGAGUAUGGUAGAGGGAAGUGGAAUUUCCGGUGUAGCGGUGAAAUGCGUAGAUAUCGGAAGGAACACCAGUGGCGAAGGCGACUUCCUGGGCCAAUACUGACGCUGAGGUGCGAAAGCGUGGGGAGCAAACAGGAUUAGAAACCCCAGUAGUCC
rnacentral:rRNA from 1 species